UACGGAGGGGGCUAGCGUUAUUCGGAAUUAUUGGGCCUAAAGCAUCCGUAGCCGGUUCUACAAGUCUUCCGUUAAAUCCACCUGCUUAACAGAUGGGCUGCGGAGGAUACUAUAGAGCUAGGAGGCGGGAGAGGCAAGCGGUACUUAGUGGGUAGGGGUAAAAUCCGUUGAUCCAUUGAAGACCACCAGUGGCGAAGGCGGCUUGCCAGAACGCACUCGACGGUGAGGGAUGAAAGCUGGGGGAGCAAACCGG
rnacentral:rRNA from 1 species